rnacentral:rRNA from 1 species
GUGCCAGCCGCCGCGGUAAUACCGGCAGCUCGAGUGAUGUCCCAUAUUAUUGGGCCUAAAGCGUCCGUAGCUGGCCAAGCAAGUCCAUUGGGAAAUCUACGCGCUCAACGCGUGGGCGUCCGACGGAAACUGCACAGCUUGGGACCGGAAGGCUCGAAGGGUACGUUCGGGGUAGGAGUGAAAUCCCAUAAUCCCGCACGGACCACCGAUGGCGAAAGCACUUCGAGAAAACGGAUCCGACAGUGAGGGACGAAAGCCAGGGUCUCCAACCGGAUUAGAUACCCGAGUAGUCC